rfam:Schistosoma rodhaini strain Burundi genome assembly, scaffold: SROB_scaffold0000047
AUCCGGCUGAUGAGUCCCAAGCAGGACGAAACUAGAGUCCUAGAC